GUUGGUUUUGUAUUUUAUUAACAGAAAACUCAUGCUGCUGAGUGCAAGAUACAGAACUGUUGAGUUUCCAUCUCAGAGCUGAUCUACAGCUCCACCGUGACCUUCAUUAACAAAAGCAGAUCAGAUGGUGCCAGUCAGUGCACUGGGCUGUUCAAAACAGCAAGGAGAGGAGUCUUCAGGCAACACUUGCAGAGAAGAAAAAUGAUGGGCUUCCUAGAGUGCUCCACCUUGCCUAUGGAUCCUUUCACGGAG
rnacentral:lncRNA from 1 species